GACGAACGCUGGCGGCGUGCCUAACACAUGCAAGUCGAACGGAAGUAAGACUCCGGUUUUACUUUAGUGGCGAACGGGUGAGUAACGCGUGAGAAACCUGCCUUUCAGUGGGGGACAACAGUUGGAAACGACUGCUAAUACCGCAUAAUGUACACGGAUCGCAUGAUCUGUGUACCAAAGCUUUAUGUGCUGAAAGAUGGUCUCGCGUCUGAUUAGCUAGUUGGUGGGGUAACGGCUCACCAAGGCGACGAUCAGUAGCCGGUCUGAGAGGAUGAACGGCCACAUUGGGACUGAGAUACGGCCCAGACUCCUACGGGAGGCAGCAGUGGGGAAUAUUGGGCAAUGGGGGAAACCCUGAUGCAGCGACGCCGCGUGAGUGAAGAAGUAUUUCGGUAUGUAAAGCUCUAUCAGCAGGGAAGAAAAUGACGGUACCUGACUAAGAAGCCCCGGCUAACUACGUG
rnacentral:rRNA from 1 species